UGCGUCUCAGUUUGCCUCAGACUUAAGUGGCUGGUGGAAGUGAGAGAUCUCUAAAGAUUCACCCAAUCCCAUUGUUCUAAGGUAAUAAAUCCUAUAAUUGCUGUAUCCUCAGAACCCAGCACGGGGCACUGCAUACGGUAGAUCUGCUUAACCAUGUACCAAAUGCAUCCGCCUCUUCCCCAACAUCCAUUACUACUGGAACCCACCAAGAACUGAAUUCCAUGGUACUUCUCAGGAUUCUUGAGGUCUGGACUAAGCCCUGGAUUGGGAAAGACGUGUUUAUGAUGCAGACCAGUUGGGGAGAUUUUUCUUGAAGGAGCAGCAGCUUGGGAAUAGCUGACCUGGUGAGAGCAUUCCUCUUCAUCUUGGCUCUGUCUGCUGUAGUUGGGGAGAUGCUCGUCCAGUGGUUGUGUGGAAGGGAGAAGAGGAUCAGGAAGACACAAUCCAGACUCUCCCAGACUCAGACAUCUGCGGCCUACUGGACACGUUCCCUUGGAACUGAUGCCCCAGUGAUUCUGCUGCCUCUGCCAGAGUCAGAAAACUGUGGAUGUGGGAAGCUGCCCGUGGAGUCAGGAAGUCAUCCCUACUGAUGGAGCCUCUGCAGCCACCUUGGUCCUGGUCCACACCAGCAAUGUUGAUGCUGCCCUGCAGCCUGCCUAUCCCCUGGCUUAAUUCCGGCUCCAUGCAUGUGACGAGCAGAAAAAAGAAAGUCGCAUCUGGACCUCCGGCGGCAAGGGAGUCUGAGAAAGAUAGAUCUGUGCAUGGUCAUCUUAACCCUCCUGUAUCCUUAAAGCCCAGCACCAGGUCAAGUAUGCAGUGGGCACUCAGUAGUUGCAUGUUAAGUGAAUCGAUGAUUCUAGAAAAGAAAAUUUUGUUUACUGGCUCUUCACCUUUAGCAGGAAGUAAAUUCUCAACGGGGCUUUGGCUCGGAAAGAAUAUGGACCUGAAUGCUUUUCUCUUCCCCUCUCCUGUCCCUCCCUCCUCACUUCUCCUUUCUCCUCUUCUCCUCUCCUCUUCUCUCCCUUCCUCUGUCCCUUUUUGUCCCUUUCCUCCUCCCUCCCUCCUUUCCCUCUCCCUCUGUGUCAGCUUCCACCACCAGGAAACCAGCUUCUCCUGAGAACACACAGGGGGACCCUUCAAACUCAGUGUACAACACAGCCUCUUGAAUUCUGUGCAUUGCCUCUUUUAAUUAAACCCCUCCUUUCAGGAAGUCUCUCAAGGCUAUAAGCUUAUCAGAUCCUGAUGAGCACGUCAUCAAAGCUCCAAUCUGGUAUUAAUGGGAAAUGGCCUUUCCCUUCAGGGAGGGCCAAGCUUCUGUCCUUGGGAACCACUGCAUUCUCCUUGCUGGGAGGACACGUGGAUUUCCCCUCAGUGCUCUCUAGGGUGCUGCAAGCUGGCAAAGUUCACCUGCCCUUUUCAAAAUAUGAAAUACAUGCCUAAUUUCCAACAUCAUUGUGUUCCAUUUUCCCUGAUAACACCUUAACAGGGGCUUUAAUAACUGCAUUCUGUGGAAAGAGACACUGGCGCUGUGCUGUUGGCUCUAGGUUGUGAGCUGGGGCCCUGGCUGUGAGCCCUUGGAGGAAUCCCUUUACCUCUCUAUUCCAGGUUAUUCAUGUUUAAAAUGAAGUUCCUUAACUGCUCUCAGUUCUUCCCAGAAUUCAUGUAAUGAGUUCUAAGUGUCAGUUCUGCUAGGUCUAGGGAGAGGGAUGAAGCCUCUACAUGAGCCAGCCUGUGUUGGUUGGGGCAGAGCCUAGAGAUCCCUGGUUCAGUGAGGCUCCUGCACUAGGGAAGGGACCUCUGAGCUCCUCUUCUCGUGCCAAGCCCAUCUCCGCUCAUCCCAUGCUGACUGCAAGAAUGGUGUUUGCUCAAUGGUCAGGGAAGUGGUGCCCAAGAGCAGGAACCUGGCUUCACUCUGUCUCUCCUCUGGGCAUCAAAGAGGCAGUACCUGCUAGGACCGUCUCUUCCUUUCUAAAAUCAGGAAGUAACAAAAGGCAGGCUGGGAUUGCCCAUAGAUACAGCUCCGUCUUUCUCUCUCUCUCCUGAAACAGCCUGCAGACAUUCCUGAGUUCUUGUGCUGAGAUUAGGUUCAUUGUCAAACCCAAACCCAUUUGUUUUAAAGCCAGUUGUGCAAAAAUAUAUUAAAAAGCAAACAUGCGCAAACCAGAAGCCAGGGUCGGGGUUAUUGAGUGUAGCUUCGAUAUUAAUAACAUGAAAUAGAGUUCCCAGUCUCCCAAUUUCCCAUCUGAAUGGAGCUCUUUCAAAGCCCAGGAAGGCAGAUGGGAUGCACAGGGCAGGAUGGGCCCCUUCCAGGGUUUCUCAGUCCAAUGCCAUCACAGAGGAACUUGAAUGUUAUUUCUGGCAGUGUGGACUGGCUUCACACAGAGAUGAGGUGGCAGACGAUGAGGGACUUCCUGGCCAUAUUAAUGUGUAGAAUGCCUCUAAGCCACACAGGUACAAAGUGAGGGUGGAAACAUUAUUUCUAGCCCUUGGAACUGAUAGAAAAAUACUCCUGACAAAGAAUACAGGGAAUACUGCUGGUGGGACUCAGUAUAAGGUCACUUUGCUGGAAAGUAACAGAGAAUAAAUAAAAUUGAUUGAGUGCCUAUUAUGUGCUUGAAAUCACUUUACAUGCUGGGGCCACAGCAGUUGUCAAAAUUGUUGGAAAUCUCUGCCCUCAUGGAGCUCAGAGUCUAGGGGAUUUUUAAAAAUCACAGGCUGGGCAGAUACUGAAGCUGGCUUUGGGGCCAUUCGGAACUAAAGACUUGAAUUCUAACAAGAUUUCUGUGAUUCAGUUUCUUGCUGUGUCUUGGAGUCAUUUCCUCCAAGCACCUUCUGUCUCUACCUCUGUCAAGAAGAGGACAAAAUAGCCACCAUCCACAUUCUUGUCCCCAGACUGAUGAAGAAGAUGAUAAAAGGGAGGCUUUAGUUGGUAAGCAGAAAGGCACCAUGUAAGUGACAGGCUUACAUCUUGUAUGAAAUCAAGUGGGCAAGAAAGCUUCUGCUCAGGUGGGUACAGCCCCAAGGAGGCUGAUAGGUGAGCACUCUUAGGAACAUGGGCUUGCAGACUUCCCAGUGAAUGCUUCCUUGGGCUGUCAUUUGAACCUAAGAAGAAAGCACAGUUCAAGAAAGAUGAACACAUGUAGCCAACCUGAACUGAAACCAAGAAGGAAAGGAUCAGUCAAAUAGCUGUCUCCUCUGGGCUUGGCUGCCUGUCCUUGGAGAUAAUACUGGCACGUAGCAAGAACUUCCACCUGCAGCAUCCACAGCACAUCUCCAUGGGCCUUAGCAAGAUGCUAUGCAACACGGCUCUUUUCCAGUAUCCUAAUUUUCUGUUCAUAACAUGUUGGGUCUUUGGGAAUCACCAUUAUAAUCAUCAUAAUGUGUUGGGUCUUUGGGAAUUACUGUCAUGAUCAUCAUCAUCACCACCACCACCACCACCAACAUCAGUUUUCCUGGUCUCAUCUUCAUGAUCCUGUUUCAUUUCUUACUACUUCAAACAUUCUUUUUUCCUUCCCUAUGCCUGGAACAUCCUCUGCUCAUUUCUAAUCCCAGAUCUUUGCUUCAGCUGUGGCUCCCUGCACUCCCUGCCUGGGGAAUGCCCCAUGUACCCCCUUUUUCUUGCUAAAAUAUUACACACCUUCAAGACCAUCUCAAGCCCCCCCUUUCAGGAAGCUCUCCUCUAUCUACUCAUGCCCUCCGGUACCUGAGUAUUUGCACAAUAUUAGAACUUAAACAUUCAUCAUUUUAGUCUACAUUCCAGCAACUCUGUAAGGUUGGAAUCAUUUCCUCCAUUUUAUCGAUGAGAUAACAGGUUCAGAGAGGCCGGGUAUUGCCCCAGGAGGAAGGAGCUGGAGCCCCCACAGCUGUGUCUAUUCUACUCUGCCUUGGUGUGCUUGCUUUCCCAGGAGCACACCAGAUGUUGAGAGCAGUAGUUCUCAAACUUCAGGGUGCAUGUACAUUACCAGGGACUGUUUGGCAGACGUUCUGGGGUGGGGAACAAACAUCUGUGUGUGGUUCACCAACGGUCCCUGGUGACUAUGGUUUUAUGGCUGGUCCUGUAGCCAUUUGAGAACCGUUGCCUUCAGAGGUGCACGUAGUCCCAUAACUGAAGAUGUGGCUCCCUGAGGCUCCUGGGAAGCCAACCGCCUCCCCAGACCUACAGAAUGGGAAUGGAAAUCUCCGGGUGUGGGGGUGGGGGCUGGAGGGGGUGGGCCUGGGAAUCUCUAGCUAAGAGCCUCAGGGGUUUUUUAUCAUCUGGCAAGUUUGGGAAAGCUGACUGAGAGUCAGGCCCAUCCAAUUAGCACUUAAUUGUAUCCUGCUUUAUCUUCUUCCCCAAUUAGUUCUUCUGCAUCAGUUAAGCUCCUUGGAGGCCCAGACAACAGCACUUAAUUCAGCAUUGCCCUGAGAGCUGGCAUGGUGCUGGCUAGGUGACUGGCAUUAUGGAAAACUGACUGCAUCUGCUUUAGGAAGAGAGGCAUGUCCAGAGUGGAAAUUCUGGAAGCUCCUUGCAAAACUAAUACCUGGGCUUCUGCACCUCCCCAGCUUGAUGUCUGCUCUUAUCCCUCAUCUCUGCAAAGCCAGGUGCUUCCUCUUGCUUAAAGACCAGCUCAAGGCUCUCUUAUUCCAAGAACUGACUCCAUUACCUCCAGCUAGAUAUAAGCCCAUGGGUCUGUGGAUCCUUCUGAUGUGAAUUUACCUGGAUUUCUGUUUUUCACGGACAGAGGGCUUCAGGAAAGCUCCUGGCCUGACAUGAUGCUAGGCACAUAGUAUUGCUCUUUCCUUCCUACAUCCUCUUCUAGGGAGGGCAUCUUAUCCACCUUGAACAUUCCUACCAUGGAAAACAGUGGCUUGCACAUAGCACAAGGUCAGUUAAUAUUUUGGAUUCCUACAUAAGUCUCAGAGAUGUUAAUAGGAAUUACCAUCUUGUUGCAAUGAAUGUGAGCAAGUAUGUGUUGUGCACAUAAAUUAUCCCACUCCCGCCAAAGGACUAUGUUACUCUUUUUCAAUUACCCAAGCAACUACUCCAGUGCCUUAUGCAUGAUUACCUUCUCUAAGUAUUUUCUUUCUAAAUUAAUACAAUUAUUAACUUCUCAGGGUGUGAACUGUAAAGGGGAAAAUGUGUGCUUCUCUGUUUAAAACAUUAGUAUCUUUAUUUUAAAUCUACUCCAGACUUGCCCAGACUCCUUCACUACUCAGAGUCUCUGAGCAUCGGCUUCCUUAACAUUCAAAAUGGAAAUGAUAAUAAAAACUUUGCACAUCUCUAAAAAUCUCUGAAAAAAAAAAUUUGUCACAUUGAACACAUAAAGCAAGCACUGGAUAAAUUGUAGCUGCAUGGUAUAGUACAGACAACUUGAGACAUAGAUGGAAGGCAGAGCCUAUAUUUUAUUCCUGCCAAACAAAAAUUAAAACAAAGGCAUUAUAAGAACCCAGUGUUGGUGACAUUUGUGAUGGAACAGGCACACUUAUUUUGGAGGCCUGUUUAGCAAUGCUUACCAGGAGUCAUAAAUAUUUUCAUAUACUUUUACCACCGCACAGCAGUUCUAAGAAUUACUACAGGAGAAUGAUUUUUAGAGAGGAACAAGUUAAAUAUAGGCAUCAGUGUAAUUUACAAAGGUGAAAACAAAAAGUAACCUAAAUGCACAUGAAUGGGAGCAAGGUUACAUAAAUUACAGUGCAACAAUGUAAUGGAAUAUCUCACAGCAAUUAAGAAGGCUAAAGACAAAUCCCAGGUAGAAACAUUUAGUGAUUGAAAAUAAUAAGUGUAAUGGUAAAACACAAUUUUAUGUAUACUUUGAUUAAAAUGAUUCAAAAUGAUAUAUUUACUUACAGCCGUGAAGAAAAGAAUAAAGACAUGAACAUGUUUGCUGUGUUAUAUUAGUGAAAUUAAAUUUAUUUUAUACAUGCUAUAUAUGUAUGUAUACAUGCAUGUGCGUAUGUAUGUAUACAUUUAUGUAAAUAUAUAGAUGCAUGAAUACACAUAUGUAUAUGUAAAUAUGUAUAUGUACAUAAAUGUGUAUGUACACUUAUAUAGGUGUAUAUGCAUGUACAUAUGUAUGUGUAUAUGUAUAUGUGUAUAUCUACAUAUGUAUAUGUGUAUAUAUACCUUUAUGUACAUAUAUAAAAAUAUUUUAAUUUUUAUUUUAAAUACUUUAUAUAAAAUUUACACACACAUCUAUAUCUAUAAAAGUAGAUAUAUGUAUAUAUCUGUAUACAGAUAUAUAUGUAUACAUAUAUACAUAUAUACACAUAUAUACAUAUAUACAUAUCUGUAUACAGAUAUAUAUACAUAUAUAUCUGUAUAUAUGUACAUAUAUACAUAUAUACAUAUAUAUGCAUACAUAUAUACAUAUAUGCACAUAUACACAUAUAUGUACAUAUAUGCAUAUAUAUACAUAUAUACAUAUAUACACACACAUAUAUAUAUACAUGUCUACUUUUGAAAAUCUUCCUAAUAGUUCUGCAAGGCAGGUUUUAGUACCUUGAGGAAACAGGUGACAAUAUUUUACUAAAUCACAUAUCUAACAAAAGUUAUCAUAAGCCUUCAAAUGAACCUUGGCCCACCGGCCCCCAAAUCUUUGCUUUUUAAAAUUAUUCACAAAUUGUUUUCCAAUGUGUGUACAUUUGAUGUUGGUUUCUUUUGAUAACUCAUUUCCAAUAAGACCUUAUUUUAUAUUACAACAAUGAAGAUAGAUAAAUAAAUACAUCAAAAUAUUUAUUAUGUGUACUACAUACAUUUUAUAAUUAAAAUGUGCUAGAUUGUUACCUUGUUAGCUCCAAUCAACCACCUCCCAGUAUUCACAGUUUUGUGUAGUCCCAUUUCACAUAGGCACUAGACUUGGCUAUGUGAUGUGAUGUGUUUUGGCCAAUGGGUCAUUGGCAAGCUUGAAAUAAGAACUUCAUAAGUACUUGUGAGUUAAGGUUUGUCCUGUUAGAAGCUAGUCACCAUGCUAUCAAGACACCCAAGCUAGCUGCAUGGAGAUGAUGCAGGAUUUUUCUUGAUCCCUUUGCCAGCUGGGGACCUCCAGCCAGCAAUGACCCUGCCCAGGCCUCACUUGAGCAUGCUACCUGUUGCAGGAGGUGGCCUGCCCACCCAGCCCACCUGGGCUGCACCUGAAUUGUGAACUGGCUUAGCCCGAAGCUGGGCUGGGCAUGCUCUAGCUCACCUGUGUUAUAGCUCAUACCUGUGUUCAGUGGUUCCUGAGUUCUUGUCCCGCGUCCAAGAAGAAUGAGGAUAUGCUGACAAUUGAAGGGUGAGGAGAGCAGAGAAGAAUUUUAUUGAGUGAUGGAACAGCUCUCAGCAGAGAGGGGAUGUGGGGGUAGUCCCCCACCUGAAGUUGGGUGGUUUCUCUUCCAGUGUAGCUGAAUCUGAGGCUUUUAUGGACUCAGAAUAGGGGAGUGCAUGCUGAUUGGUUUGUGAAUAUGCAAAAAUGGUUAAAACAAAGGCACCACUCAAAUGUGGGCAUGACAGUGUAAAUAAACCAAUUAGGGAAGGGUAGGUAUAUGUAAAAUAGGUGAAGGGUGAGGAUCAAUCAGAGGAAAGCAUGCCCAACAGGAAGAUAGAUUCUCAGUCUGGUCUGUGGAUUUGACUUGUAGUUAGGCUUAAACUGUCUUUGGCUUGGAGAUGGGGUUUCACCAGGGACACGCCCCUAUCUGCCUAUGCAUUUGUCUGCCUCCUGCCACUAUCAGAGAGGCCACAGAGAAGAGAAUUGAGGCUUCCCAGAAAAGAGCCCUGAUGAGGUCCCCGCUCACAAUAUGGAGAGAUCGUUUAGGAUUACCAGCCCCUUUGAAGCCUCCAGAAAAUCACAGCUCUGUUAGUAAUUUUUGUGGACUCCAUGCAAAGAAAAGAAUCAUUUAAUGAGCCCAGUCAACCCAUAGAAUCAUGAGAAAUAAUAAAUCUUUGUAGUUUCAAAGCGCUAAGUUUUGGGAUGGUUUGUUAAACAGCAAGAGAUGACCAAUAUAUCAGACCUGAAAAAUUUAAAGCACCAGGAAAAUUUUAAAGUACCAGGAAAAUUUUAAAGUACCAUCCUAGCACAUAGUAGAUGCUUAAUUAAAAUGUCUAUGAAGAAGAAGGGGUCAAUUCUGUCACUUGGCAUUCAGAUUCCCUUUUUGCUCACUAUAGCCUUCCACUUUAAGAAGAGAACCAACAUCCCUGUUGAACUGGAUUCAUCUGCAAACCAGGCCAGCAAUCCUGGCUCAGGCAGGCCUUCCAGGAGGGCAAACUGUAUAGUUCUAUAGCAAAGGGGGCAUUGUCCUUUCUGAAAUGCCAGAUCCUUUAUAAGCUGGAGAGUUACAGUCACUGUUUGGUAAUUGCCCUGCCCCCUGCUAGUGCUUCCAUUCUUGGCUCUUAUAAUAAAGUUCAGUCUCAUGCUCAUUUUUUAUCUUCCUAAAUGGGGCCUGCCAUGGAGCAGCCAUUUGUAUUACGAUCUUAGGCAACCAUGACUGUUCCCAGCCACAGCAUCCCUAAUGCCACUGCCUUAGUUCAGACCCGUAUCAUUUCUCCCCUGGAUAAUUACAACAGCCCCUAACAAGUCUCCUAGCAUUUUGGCAUACACUCCUCUAUUCCAUUCUCUGUAGCAGGCAGUAGGCCAUUUCUAAAGUACAAACUAAAUCAUUUCACCAUGCUUUUUAAAACCUUCCAAUAGGCUCCCCAUUGCCUCAAAGCAAAAUUUCUCAGACUGGAUUAAUGAGUGAGUGUUCCACAGGGUGUGGGCUAGGAAUGAGAAUAUAGUUUAACACAUUUGGGAAACCCUGGGUUAAACAUGGUUAACCAGGUAUUUUUGUGUGUUUGUUACAGGAUUUCUCAGAGCCUUUAAUAUGCUGAUGCAAAUUGUGAAUCUUAUCACAAGAGUGAUAUAAAAUCAACAUUUACCAAACUUGCUUUCUUGGCAGACUAUCUUUGGUUCCACUGAGUUGCAGUUUAGAAUUUUUCAAGUAUUUCCAAGUCCCUUAGUCUGGUAGACAAGUUUCUUCAUAAUCUGACCCCUGCUUAUUUCUUCAGCACAAGUCUCUACAUUUCUCCCAGGUCCUUGCUUCUUGACAAUUUGGUUCCUAUGUACCUGCUUUCCUUUAUCUAAAGUCAACCAUCCUGUUCUUUCAUAGCCCUGGUUAAUUCUUAUUCAUCCUUUGAAUCUCAGGUCAGUCUUCUCUCCUCUGGGAAAUCUUAUCCUAUCCCCACCAUACCUCAUCCCACCCCACCCUCCCUUGGGCUGAGUUAUACAUUCACCCUAUGACAUCCCAUGCUUUUUCCUAUUAUAUUAACUUUCACACAACCUUAGAGUUUCCUGCUUGUCUCUCCUUGUAGAUUGCAUGUUCCUUUGGGCAGGGCUGUCAGCAGGGCACUUAGUGUGCAUUCAGUAAGUGUUUCUUGAGUAAAUGAGUACUGAGAAAUAGAAUGCAUUUUGUGAAAACAGUUGUUGACUAAGAAUUUUCUGAAUGCAGUCACACUGAUAGUAGAUACCUUUUCAGGUGCCAAUCCAUCUAUGGUGUAAACAUGUCUCUUAUACUGACCAUACUCUACAGGUGUUCUCUGUGAUACUAUCUCCUGGGACCAUUUAAAUUCACAUGAAGAAAACUGAGCCGACCUGACUCAUUCUCUGAGGAUUCGAACUUAGGAAUUGUUAGAAGUUUAUUCAAACUGCAGAAUCAUAAACUGCAGAGCUCUGGUGGCCGUUUUGUGUAUGAGUAAAUGGGAGCGAUGGAAGCAGUUCUGUAGAAAGAGAGGGAGAGAAGUGAAGGGCAUUGGGCUACAGAUGUUCCUCGAUGUCCCAAUAAACCCAUCAUAGAGUUGCAUGAUGUUGAAAAUAUUCUAAGUCACAAAUACAUUUAAUACACCUAACCUACUGAACAUCAUAACUUAGCGUGCCUUCAGUGUGCUCAGAACACUUAGAUUAGCUUACAUUUGGGCAAAAUCAUCUAUUUAACACAAAGCCUAUUUUAUAAUAAAAUAUUGAAUAGCUCAUGUAAUUUAUUGAAAACUAUACUAAAAGUGAAAAACAGAAUGGUUGCAUGGGUACCUGAAAUAUGGUUUCUACCAAAUGUGUAUUGCCUUUGCAACCAUCUUAAGUCAAACCAUCAUAAGCUGGGAACUGUCUGUAUUUAGAAAAAAGCAAAGAUGGAGAGGUAUUCCUAACCCCCUGGGUUCCUAAUUUCUCACAGAUUUCUCAUUUCAGCACUAGCUGAGGUCUGGCUAUCAGCCUGUCACAGAGUUAGGAGUAUGUCAUCACAGUGAUUUUUCUUUCCCCUCCUCCAGCCUAUUUGAAGGAGGCCCUGUUAUGUGUUACCAAUAGGGUCUUUACUAAGCAAUGUCUAGUUUUUUUCCUUGAAAAACUUGAAAUGUGAAUGGCUCUCUCAACAUGCUUCUCUUUGUAACAGCCACAUUGUGAAUAUUAAUGGCAGUACUUAAGCAGGUCGAUUGUGCACUGAGAAUAUGAAAUAUGCAUGUCACUUAAAAACAAAUGAUUGUCCAUACAGUGCUUGGGCUGAAUUAUUCUCCCUCAGGUUGUCACACCUGAUGCAGAGGGAAGCUAAGGCAAUGCAUCUGUGCCAGACUUUAUAGAUCCCAAGGUCAGGAUCAAAAUGUGCAGAUUCAGGAAGAUGCUUUUUCACUAAUGAUUUGUUACCGUUAACUUGACGCACUGGGUGGAUUUAUAUAGAGAAAAAUGUUAAUAAAAUGUUCUUCGAGCUACAUUUCUGCUUUGCUGAGUUGUCAUUCCAUUAAGCAAAUUUGAGGCAAUGUAAUUGCUAUAAGAUUCUACAUAUUUGCAAAUGAAUUUGUGAGUUUAUUUGGGAAAUGAAUGGGUUUUAACUUGGCUUGUUGGACUAAUUUUAUUUUGCUGUUUCCAGGAGAUGUCCUAGCGAG
rnacentral:lncRNA from 10 species